GUCGUACGGUAAGGCACCUUCGGGUGUACACGAGUGGCGUACGGGUGAGUGGCGCGUGGGUAAUCUGCCCUCGGGUCGGGGACAACCCCGGGAAACUGGGGCUAAUACCGGAUGAGACCACGAGAUCCCCGGAUCUCGCGGAAAAAGGUGGCCUCUCCUUGGAAGCUACCGCCUGAGGAUGAGCCCGCGUCCCAUUAGCUUGUUGGUGAGGUAACGGCUCACCAAGGCUCCGAUGGGUAGCUGGUCUGAGAGGAUGAUCAGCCACACUGGAACUGAGACACGGUCCAGACUCCUACGGGAGGCAGCAGUCGGGAAUCUUGGGCAAUGGGCGAAAGCCUGACCCAGCAACGCCGCGUGAGGGAUGAAGGCCUUCGGGUCGUAAACCUCUGUCGGGAGGGAAGAACGGUUUCCAUUCGAAUAGGGUGGGAGCCUGACGGUACCUCCAAAGGAAGCGCCGGCUAACUCCGUGCCAGCAGCCGCGGUAAUACGGAGGGCGCGAGCGUUGUUCGGAAUCAUCGGGCGUAAAGCGCGUGUAGGCGGCUUGGCAAGUCGGACGUGAAAUCCCGGGGCUCAACCCCGGAACUGCGCUCGAAACUGCCUCGCUAGAGUCCCGGAGAGGAAGGCGGAAUUCCCGGUGUAGAGGUGAAAUUCGUAGAUAUCGGGAGGAACACCAGUGGCGAAGGCGGCCUUCUGGACGGUGACUGACGCUGAGACGCGAAAGCGUAGGGAGCAAACAGGAUUAGAUACCCUGGUAGUCCACGCCGUAAACGUUGGGUGCUAGGUGUCGCGGGUAUUGACCCCUGCGGUGCCGUCGUUAACGCAGUUAGCACCCCGCCUGGGGAGUACGGUCGCAAGGCUAAAACUCAAAGGAAUUGACCGGGGGCCCGCACAAGCGGUGGAGCAUGUGGUUUAAUUCGAAGCAACGCGCAGAACCUUACCUGGGCUUGACAUCUACGGAACCUCCUGGAAACAGGAUGGUGCCUUCGGGAACCGUAAGACAGGUGCUGCAUGGCUGUCGUCAGCUCG
rnacentral:rRNA from 1 species